rnacentral:lncRNA from 1 species
UGAAAACAACCAUGUACUUCAAUGCUUCUUUAGUCAUUUGUAAUCAUGCCUUCUAAAGUUUGAAGUAGCAUCCUUUUCUAAAACGAAGCUCCUUUGAUAACAGCCUGUUUCAGAUGCAACAUAUUACCGCCGGCUGGAAUUGGAUUGUUUUUCUAUAGGUGCUUUUACAGUAAACCUUUAGAUGGCAGCAUCUCUCACCGUAAGCCAUACUUUGAGCACACUCUUUUCAGACGUAUGAGAUGUACAGACAGGAGGUUGUUCAGAGUCUGUGUGUAUCACCCUUUCACUGUGAGGACAAGGCAGGAGCACUGGCCUGGUCAGGGCACUGGCCUAGGCUGCUUAGAGGACAAGCAUUGAAGCUUGCCUGGAGUAGUGUCUACCACCUUUUCUGUGACCUUGUGUAAGCUGUAACAAGGUCGAACAGGUGAUUCUGGAAAAAGGAACGUGAUAUUUAGACGUCGCAAAUAGACAUUAUUUUUGCUUUUCAAGUCACUGUAGGUCUAGUUCAUAGACCAAGCAAUUCACCUAUCCAGAUAUGUGCAGUACUGUCGGGUUUUUUUAGCAUGUUUGCAGACAUGUUAUGAAUGAUUGGUGAAGUUUGAUUUUAGAACAUCUUGUUACCUCUCAAAGAAUUCCCUCACUCACUACCCGACAAGCUGGCAUAUCUUUAGCCCUGGCAAGCAUUCAACCCUUUGGUUUCUGUAGGCUCACCUACCCUGGAAGUUACAUGUCGAAAGGCGUCAUGUAGGAUGUGGCUUAGCAUAUUUAAAGUUGGUUCAUGUUGCAACAUGAAUAGGUGCUUCGCCUCUUCUCCUCUCCUAGUAACCAGUGUGUUCUGCUCUCUCCACUGAUGGGCCUUUGGUUGUGGCAGUCGUGCUGCUGUGAACACAGUCUACCCAUUUCUAUGUGGAUGUACGCCUGCAUGUGCAUAGAGCUGCUGGGCCCCAUGAGAACUCUGUUGAACUUUUUGAACAACUGCUUAGCUGUUUUCCAGAGUGACUGCAUCUUUGUCCCCAGCAGCAGGGAACGGGAGUUCCAUUCCGUCUCAUUAGGAAUUCCAAGAGCUUUCUCUGGAGGGGAAAAAAAGAAAUCAUAAAAUUAUAAAGAAUCCCAAUGGAUGUGGUAAUAUAUACCUGUAUUCACUCCAGAGGCUGCGGCAGAAGGAUGGAUGUCAGUUAGGCCUGCCUGACUC